CUGGUUUAAUGACACCUUGUUAACCGCACCAUUGUAAUGGUAAUAAACACGUACGACCAAUACGAGAGUGUUGACUCUCCGACGCUAAGGAGGGGUUGCUCCAAGGGAGUGUCUGCCCCCCAUUUAAGUCUACAGCCAUGAUUCCUUAUCCAUUUGUGCGUUUGAGGUUUGCCGGUGUCACAUGUCACCGUGUGAGGGUUACGUCCAGUGAUAGUGUCCGUGGUUUUUUGUGUAUCCACUUUUCCUUUCCGCGCGUUGAAGUCUUUUCCAGUGUUUCUGAAAAGAGGUAUCCAGCAAAAAAGUGCUACGCUUUUUUUCGUGCGGAUCAAACAUGUUUGACAAGCUCGCAUUGGAAAUCCUCGCAUCUGUAGUGAUCGUGACGCUUAUACGCAGCGGAACUUGUGACGUGCCGUCAGACUGGCAAAGUGGUGCGGGAAGCAUAGCUCCCAGGAGCCUCGAUUCAAGGAGUGAUGCUGAAAGUAUAUCCCCCAGGGGCCCUGAGAUGGGGGUUAAUGCGGGUAGUAUAGAUCUUAAGGGCUCGGAAUCCGUUAAAGAGCGCACGGCGCGGGACUGGUCAACGACCGGUUCGACCGCCGGGAGUUACUACCCUCCAUCGAACGGCUAUGUCGGAGGUCCUAGCUACGUGGACAGCUAUGGAGUGCCCCAUUCGGAUUAUCAAUACCCAAACGCCGGAGCUAGCAGUUAUUCUUCUGAAGAGGCCAAACCCAAGCAAAGGCCAAUCGUCCCACCCAUUUUCCCACCCGUAUAUCAGGGAAUGCCAAUGACCCCAGUUGAGUGUCAAAUGGCGGGAUAUUCGAACGUUUUUGGAGACCUUUUCCGUUUCGGAGGGCUCAUCAAAGUGGGUCUCAUAAAAGCAGGUCUCACGGCCCUUGCGGCUGGCCUAUUAACCAAACUCCCUCUACUCCUUUUCAUCAAGACCCUUAUCGUUAAACUUAUCAUUUUCCCGAUCGGCUUCUUAGUUUUCUCCCUCCCUGUUCUCUUACCUCUUCUCCUUUUCUUCCUCCCCAACAUGAUGAAGGACAAGCAGCCCAUCAUGAUGAUGAUGACACCUGAAAACGCCAAUAACAGUACCAGCGGUGGGGGCAAAAGACCAGGCACGCGGGAUUUCCUGUACAGAGUGUCCGAUAAAAAUGGCGAAAAGGGAUACGAGGACGAAUACGAGGAGGAAUCUAGAAAAUCAAGGGACGCGGAUACCUAUCUAGACUCAAUUCUGAGCACGAUUUUUGACUCGCAACUGUGCCUGCAACGCAUUGCAUGUCAGCUUGGAGUCAGGGACGCGGAUUCCAAAUAUAGGAAGUCUGUUUCGUGGGCGCUGAAGUAUCUGCAGACAUUCAAAAUGGCUGAAAGCAGCCCCGAAAUUCAAGCAAGACUGAAAUCGUACAGGAAUGCCUACAACCUGGGUGCUGAGCAAAAUUCUACUGAAUUUUGCUCUUCAGACGAACGGUUCCCAUGUGAAACGCCACAUAUCGUCCUCAGACAAGCAAAGAGAUCGAUCACCUUAAUUUAAUCAGUUCACUUUGGAAACUGGAACCUUUGGAAUAAAUUUUACUCAAAGCAGUUGAACGGAUAUUCGCACAGUCACUUAUCACAGGACUGCAGAUCGUGUUGUAGAUCUCUAUACCUACACUUUUAAAUUCAUAUUCACAUGACAUAGAUGAUAUGGGUCACCUGAACUUCUUAAAAUUUUCAGUUCAGUCUCCAUGCAAAUCUUAGGUGGAGUUUUUUUUACUAUUAUUUGCACAAAAUUUAAUACACUAAAGAGAAAAUUGACACAUUUUUUCUGAAUUCUCGAAAACAAUAAAAACAUUUGCUUCUAUUUCUCAAGCCUCUAAUAACCAUCCUAAAAUAGUAGAAUAAUUUCAAUGAAGAUGAUGAAAUAGAAACGUUUAAUUUUGACUGAAUAUAUUUUCCUUGUAAUUUCAAAAUACUUUUGAAACAGGAAACCUCAUUUAAGAGUUAAAAUAAUAUUGAGUAGUGGUUCCUGCUCUAAAUUAUGGAAAUAUACCGCAUAGACACUAUAUUUUGCUGUGAGCCUCCUAUUAACAUCCUCUAAAAUAACCGUGAAACUAUUUUUCUUUGUCAUGUGUGAUUACAUCAUGGAUUUUAUGAAAAAUACUUUGGUAUUAUGGGCUCACGUAUAACCUGAUCAAUCAGUGUUGCUUAACUAUAGUAGCUACAACCGAACAAAAUAACGCUCUGUUUUCAUACAUGAGUAUAGAAAAGGACGCCAGUUUUGCAGUCAAUUGGUAAUGCACCGUAACGCAACUUUAUCACUUUGUAAAUAUCUUUGUAUCAUUAAUUUAUUUGUACAUAAGUUGAAUAAGUCUGUAACUUAUCAUGUGCCAUUAUUCAAACAAAUAAAUGCAAAACCAGACUUAACUAUGAU
rnacentral:lncRNA from 1 species